GACGAACGCUGGCGGCGUGCUUAACACAUGCAAGUGAUGCGACGAACCAGGCUUCGGCCUGGGGCAAAGCCGCGAACGGGUGAGUAACACGUGAGUAAUCUGCCCCGAUGACCGGGACAACCCGAGGAAACUCGGGCUAAUACCGGAUGAUGAGCCUUGGCGUAAGCCUUGUCUCUAAAGGAAGCUUCGGCCUCCGCAUCGGGAGGAGCUCGCGGCCCAUUAGCUUGUUGGUGGGGUAACGGCCUACCAAGGCGACGAUGGGUAGCUGGUCUGAGAGGACGAUCAGCCUCACUGGGACUGAGACACGGCACAGACUCCUACGGGAGGCAGCAGUGGGGAAUCUUGCGCAAUGCGCGAAAGCGUGACGCAGCAACGCCGCGUGGGGGAAGACGGCCUUCGGGUUGUAAACCCCUUUCAGGAGGGACGAAGGUUCGCCGGUGAAUAGCCGUGCGGAUUGACGGUACCUCCACAAGAAGCUCCGGCUAACUACGUGCCAGCAGCCGCAGUAAGAC
rnacentral:rRNA from 1 species